GCCUGGGUGGCUCAGUUGGUUGAGUAUCUGACUUUGGAUCUGACGGUUUGUGGGUUCGAGCCCCACGUCGGGCU